rnacentral:tRNA from 1 species
GGAGGGGUAGCUCAGUUGGUAGAGUGCUUGACUAGCAUAUAGGAGGCCCUGGGCUUGACUCCCAGCACCACAU